CCAAUAGCGUAUAUUAAAGUUGUUGCAGUUAAAAAGCUCGUAGUUGAAUUUCGAGAUCAAUUUUCUUGGUCAUACCUUUGUAUGUACUGGUCUUAUUGAUUUCUCCCUUCUGAUGAACCAUGAUGUCAUUAAUUUGGUGUUAUGGGGAAUCAGGACUAUUACUUUGAAAAAAUUAGAGUGUUUAAAGCAGGCUCACGCUUGAAUACAUUAGCAUGGAAUAAUGAAAUAGGACGUUUGAUUCUAUUUUGUUGGUUUCUAGGAUUGACGUAAUGAUUAAUAGGGAUAGUUGGGGGCAUUAGUAUUCAAUUGUCAGAGGUGAAAUUCUUGGAUUUAUUGAAGACUAACUACUGCGAAAGCAUUUGCCAAAGAUGUUUUCAUUAAUCAAGAACGAAAGUUAGGGGAUCGAAGACGAUCAGAUACCGUCGUAGUCUUAACCAUAAACUAUGCCGACUAGGAAUCGGAUGAUGUUAAUUUUUUAAUGACUCAUUCGGCGCCUUACG
rnacentral:rRNA from 1 species